AUUGAACGCUGGCGGCAGGCCUAACACAUGCAAGUCGAACGAGUGGCGGACGGGUGAGUAAUGUCUGGGAAACUGCCUGAUGGAGGGGGAUAACUACUGGAAACGGUAGCUAAUACCGCAUACCAUCGGAUGUGCCCGGAUGGGAUUAGCUAGUUGGUGGGGUAAAGGCUCACCUAGGCGACGAUCCCUAGCUGGUCUGAGAGGAUGACCAUCCAGACUGGACCUGAGACACGGUCCAGACUCCUACGGGAGGCAGCAGUGGGGAAUAUGGCACAAUGGGCGCAAGCCUGAUGCAGCCAUGCCGCGUGUAUGAAGAAGGUCUUAGGAUUGUACAGUACUUUCAGUCGGGAGGCGUUACCGACAGAAUAAGCACCGGCUAACUCCGUGCCAGCAGCCGCGGUAAUUC
rnacentral:rRNA from 1 species